UACGAAGGGGGCUAGCGUUGUUCGGAAUUACUGGGCGUAAAGGGCGCGUAGGCGGUUUGAUAAGUUGGGUGUGAAAGCCCAGGGCUUAACCCUGGAACUGCACUCAAGACUGUCUUACUUGAAUUCGGUAGAGGAUGGUGGAAUUCCCAGUGUAGAGGUGAAAUUCGUAGAGAUUGGGAAGAAUAUCCGUGGCGAAGGCGGCCAUCUGGACCGACAUUGACGCUGAGGCGCGAAAGCGUGGGGAU
rnacentral:rRNA from 1 species